rnacentral:tRNA from 1 species
GAGGGUAUAGCUCAAAGGUAGAGCACAUGCUUCGCAUGCAUGAUGUCCUGAGUUCAAUCCCCAGUCCCUUCU